rnacentral:rRNA from 1 species
GAAUAUUGCACAAUGGAGGAAACUCUGAUGCAGCGACGCCGCGUGAGUGAUGAAGGACUUCGGUUCGUAAAGCUCUGUCGUAUGGGAAUAAGAACGUGAAUGUACCAUGCAAGAAAGGAUCGGCUAACUUCGUGCCAGCAGCCGCGGUAAGACGAGGGAUCCUAGCGUUGUUCGGAAUCAUUGGGCGUAAAGCGGAUGUAGGUGGCUUUGUAAGUCAGAUGUGAAAGCCCAGGGCUCAACCCUGGAAGUGCAUUUGAUACUGCGAAGCUUGAGUGCUAGAGAGGUUACUAGAAUUCCUGGUGUAGUGGUGAAAUACGUAGAUAUCAGGAGGAAUACCGGAGGCGAAGGCGGGUAACCAGCUAGACACUGACACUCAGAUCCGAAAGUGUGGGGAUCAAACAG